GGCUGUCAGUCCUUCGAUCUUGCACUGACUAAGCCGGGCUGCCGCACCUACGCGGGCAGCAUAAUUUAGGAGACUACGGAUGGCUACUGGCACCGUAAAAUGGUUCAACGAAACUAAAGGUUUCGGCUUUAUCGCACCCGAUGGCGGCAGCAAAGACGUGUUCGUGCACAUCACUGCACUGGAACGCGCUGGUCUGCGUACGCUUGCUGACAACCAGAAAGUCACCUUCGACAUCGAAGCUGGCCGUGACGGUCGCGAAAGCGCAACCAACAUCGCUCUGGCCUAAUUUAGGCUAAAGAGAUUGAAGAGGGCGCCAUUGGCGCCCUUUUUUUG
rnacentral:misc_RNA from 1 species